ACGAACGCUGGCGGCGUGCCUAAUACAUGCAAGUAGAACGCUGAAGAGAGGAGCUUGCUCUUCUUGGAUGAGUUGCGAACGGGUGAGUAACGCGUAGGUAACCUGCCUUGUAGCGGGGGAUAACUAUUGGAAACGAUAGCUAAUACCGCAUAACAAUGGAUGACACAUGUCAUUUAUUUGAAAGGGGCAAUUGCUCCACUACAAGAUGGACCUGCGUUGUAUUAGCUAGUAGGUGAGGUAAUGGCUCACCUAGGCGACGAUACAUAGCCGACCUGAGAGGGUGAUCGGCCACACUGGGACUGAGACACGGCCCAGACUCCUACGGGAGGCAGCAGUAGGGAAUCUUCGGCAAUGGGGGCAACCCUGACCGAGCAACGCCGCGUGAGUGAAGAAGGUGUUCGGAUCGUAAAGCUCUGUUGUAAGUCAAGAACGGGUGUGAGAGUGGAAAGUUCACACUGUGACGGUAGCUUACCAGAAAGGGACGGCUAACUACGUGC
rnacentral:rRNA from 1 species